GUCUGGAAGCCAACCUGAAAUAAGCACAGUCUCUCCACAGAGGAGUGAAAGAGGCUCCCAGAAGUGAGACUGAGUGCCUGUUGCAGUAUGACGAGGACACAGUGACCAGAGACCUUCAGUAGACCCUUCUGGCAUGAUUGGCGGCUGAAGAACAUGAAAUCAACAGCAAUGUUUAUAAUGUUGUACAUACCUGUAUAGUCUGUAUUAAAAGGCAGUACCUGUA